rnacentral:rRNA from 1 species
GACGUAGGGGGCCAGCGUUGUUCGGAAUUACUGGGUGUAAAGGGUUCGUAGGCGGUGUAGCAAGUCGGGAGUGAAAUCUCUGGGCUUAACCCAGAGGCUGCUUCCGAAACUGCUGUGCUUGAGUGUGGGAGAGGCGCGUGGAAUUGCAGGUGUAGCGGUGAAAUGCGUAGAUAUCCGGAGGAACACCAGUGGCGAAAGCGGCCACCUGGACUGCACCUGACGCUGACACGCGAAAGCUAGGGGAGCGAACGGG